rnacentral:rRNA from 1 species
GAUUAGAAGCUUGCUUCUAUGACGUUAGCGGCGGACGGGUGAGUAACACGUGGGCAACCUGCCUGUAAGACUGGGAUAACUUCGGGAAACCGAAGCUAAUACCGGAUAGGAUCUUCUCCUUCAUGGGAGAUGAUUGAAAGAUGGUUUCGGCUAUCACUUACCGAUGGGCCCGCGGUGCAUUAGCUAGUUGGUGAGGUAACGGCUCACCAAGGCAACGAUGCAUAGCCAACCUGAGAGGGUGAUCGGCCACACUGGGACUGAGACACGGCCCAGACUCCUACGGGAGGCAGCAGUAUGGAAUCUUCCGCAAUGGACGAAAGUCUGACGGAGCAACGCCGCGUGAGUGAUGAAGGCUUUCGGGUCGUAAAACUCUGUUGUUAGGGAAGAACAAGUACAAGAGUAACUGCUCGUACCUUGACGGUACCUAACCAGAAAGCCACGGCUAACUACGUGCCAGCAGCCGCGGUAAUACGUAGGUGGCAAGCGUUAUCCGGAAUUAUUGGGCGUAAAGCGCGCGCAGGCGGUUUCUUAAGUCUGAUGUGAAAGCCCACGGCUCAACCGUGGAGGGUCAUUGGAAACUGGGGAACUUGAGUGCAGAAGAGAAAAGCGGAAUUCCACGUGUAGCGGUGAAAUGCGUAGAGAUGUGGAGGAACACCAGUGGCGAAAGCGGCUUUUUGGUCUGUAACUGACGCUGAGGCGCGAAAGCGUGAGGAGCAAACAGGAUUAGAUACCCUGGUAGUCCACGCCGUAAACGAUGAGUGCUAAGUGUUAGAGGGUUUCCGCCCUUUAGUGCUGCA